GUCUUUUUGAUAAUAAUUUAAAGUCUAAUCUGCCCACUGAUAAAAUAUUAAAGGGCUGCAGUAUUAUGACUGUACAAAGGUAGCAUAAUCAUUAGUUUUUUAAUUGGGAACUUGUAUGAAAGAUUUAAUGAAAUAUUAACUGUCUCUUAUUUAUUGUUAGAAAUUUAUUUUUUAGUAAAAAAACUAAAAUAUGUUUAAAAGACGAGAAGACCCUAUAGAGUUUUAUAUUUAUAUUUUUUUUAUUUUGUAUGAAAAUUAAUAUUAAAUUAAAUGUAAAUAUUAUAUUGGGGUGAUAGAAAAAUUAAACUAACUUUUUUUGAAAGAUUUACAUUAAUAAAUGAAUAAUUGAUCCAUUAUUAGUGAUUAUAAGAAAAAAUUACCUUAGGGAUAACAGCGUAAUAUUUUUUUUUAGUUCAUAUAAAAAAGAAAGUUUGCGACCUCGAUGUUGGAUUAAGAUAAAAUUUAAAUGCAAAAGUUUAAAAUUUUGAUCUGUUCGAUCAUUAAAAUCUU
rnacentral:rRNA from 1 species